rnacentral:rRNA from 1 species
UUGUCCGGAUUUAUUGGGUUUAAAGGGUGCGUAGGUGGUCUAUUGAGUCAGUGCUGAAAUAUCCCGGCUUAACCGGGAGGGUGGCAUUGAUACUGAUGGACUUGAGUAAAGUUGAGGUGGGCGGAAUUGACGGUGUAGCGGUGAAAUGCUUAGAUAUCGUCAAGAACACCUAUUGCGAAGGCAGCUCACUAAGCUUUAACUGACACUGAGGCACGAAAGUGUGGGGAUCAAACAGG